rnacentral:rRNA from 1 species
UAAUACAUGCAAGUCGAACGCGCAGCGAAAGGUGCUUGCACCUUUCAAGCGAGUGGCGAACGGGUGAGUAACACGUGGAUAACCUGCCUCAAGGCUGGGGAUAACAUUUGGAAACAGAUGCUAAUACCGAAUAAAACUUAGUAUCGCAUGAUACAAAGUUGAAAGGCGCUACGGCGUCACCUAGAGAUGGGUCCGCGGUGCAUUAGUUAGUUGGUGGGGUAAAGGCCUACCAAGACAAUGAUGCAUAGCCGAGUUGAGAGACUGAUCGGCCACAUUGGGACUGAGACACGGCCCAAACUCCUACGGGAGGCUGCAGUAGGGAAUCUUCCACAAUGGGCGAAAGCCUGAUGGAGCAACGCCGCGUGUGUGAUGAAGGCUUUAGGGUCGUAAAGCACUGUUGUAUGGGAAGAAAUGCUAGAAUAGGGAAUGAUUCUAGUUCGACGGUACCAUACCAGAAAGGGACGGCUAAAUACGUGCCAGCAGCCGCGGUAAUACGUAUGUCCCGAGCGUUAUCCGGAUUUAUUGGGCGUAAAGCGAGCGCAGACGGUUGAUUAAGUCUGAUGUGAAAGCCCGGAGCUCAACUCCGGAAUGGCAUUGGAAACUGGUUAACUUGAGUGUUGUAGAGGUAAGUGGAACUCCAUGUGUAGCGGUGGAAUGCGUAGAUAUAUGGAAGAACACCAGUGGCGAAGGCGGCUUACUGGACAACAACUGACGUUGAGGCUCGAAAGUGUGGGUAG